UUGCUGGAGCUGAAUGCUCUGAAUAGUCAUCUGCUCCAAUAACUCCUUCAAUGUAGGCUCAGAAGUAGUGGGAGGAUGAGGAGUUGCUUGGACAGGCUCAUGAGACUGCAGCUGCUGUGGCUCCUGGACAGGUGGAGAAGACAUACAAGAAUUCUGGAAUGGUGGUUCUUGAUCUUGAAGCUGUGAAGUACCAUACCAUCCCAGGUCAGGAUCAUUCCACCCAGGAUCGUUGCUAUAUGAAUCAAAAUGAUGCUGAGUAGGGGAGAAUCUAUCCUAAAACAAAUGCUUAAGAUCUUCCCAAUUGGCCCAGAAUUCUGGUGAAAGAUGAAUAAGCCACUCCCAUGCUGCGUCUUCUAAUGAAUGCGGAAAUGCCCUUAAAAACAUGUGAUCAUCAGGGACAUGAAGAGGUUUCUUUGAAGAGCACAUGGUGCAGAACUCCUCCAAAUGUCUAUGUGGGCAUUCACCAGCAAAUCUGUAAGUCCAGAGGUGAGAACGCAAUGAAAUCAACCUCAUCAAGUGGAAUCGGCUCCCAAAGAGCACUCUCAAGAAUAGAAGGAUGAGUCAUAUUGUUCUCAACAUAAAAAUCAGCAGAAUAUGCGUGAGAAGCACUAUCAGAGGCACAGGCAGAAGAAACAGUAUCCACAUAGCCAAAACAGGUAGACAUGCGAAAGAAGGGGGAAAAGAAAAAUGCAAUGAAAAUAUGCAACUAAAGCUACCUAAAUGCAACACACAAUGAUGAACACACAAAAAAGAACAUCACACUCAAAACACAAGACAAAACACAACACACACUAACACAAAAAAAGACCUAAAACUGAACCGUUGGUCCCCGGCAACGGCGCCAAAAUUUGAUGGGCUGUCGCAACCCACACAAAUUUGAUUGCAUAAUAAGAAAUGCAGUAUAGCUAGGGAUUGACUCCUAGGUCGUCUCUCAAGGACCAACUGCGGUUCAGAGUCAAGUCUAACACGAAGGAGGGGGGGUUGUGAAAGGUUUGCGUGGUGAAAUUAAAACAGUAAAAACGAAACUGCUACAGUAAAUACGAAAAUUCACGCUGGAACUGGACAACUCUGACCUUUGCUCAAUGUUUUACCCAUAACUUUUUCUACAGAGCUCUAAAUGAGAUGAGGUUUUUUUUCCUGGAAAGUAGACUCAAUUAUCUUUCUUGUGACAUAUAAAACGUAGCAUUUGGACCUCUGGUAUGGUCGCAGUUAUUUUUUCUAAAAUCGAGUCCAGAGAGUGAAAAUGCUAAACCAAAUACUAAACUAAACAAAUAUCUAAACACAGUUAAAACUAUUAAAAUGCAAUGCUUGAACUAAUAAAAGAAAUGCACAUUUAUCACGAAAAUAGUACUAAAAGAAAAGAAAGCAUGAACAAUAAAAAACAUAAUGUAAAUUAACAAAAAUGCUGAAUACAAAUUAUAAUAUNGAAUAUAAAAUG
rnacentral:lncRNA from 1 species